rnacentral:rRNA from 1 species
AGUGAACGUUGGCGGCGUGGAUUAGGCAUGCAAGUCGAGCGAUCGUAGCAAUACGGGAGCGGCAAACGGGGUAGGAAUACAUCGGAACGUACCUUUUGGUUGAGAAUAGCGUUGGGAAACUGACGGUAAUACUCAAUAAAGUCGAGAGACCAAAGGUUUACUGCCGGAAGAGCGGCCGAUGCGAUAUUAGGUAGUUGGUGGGGUAAUGGCCUACCAAGCCUGAGAUGUCUAGGGGGUGUGAGAGCAUGGCCCCCACCACUGGGACUGAGAUACUGCCCAGACACCUACGGGUGGCUGCAGUCGAGGAUCUUCGUCAAUGGGCGAAAGCCUGAACGAGCGACGCCGCGUGCGGGAUGAAGGCCCUUGGGGUUGUAAACCGCUGUCAGGGGGAUGAAACCGUAAGGUUGACAGAGCCCCAGAGGAAGCACGGGCUAAGUUCGUG